rnacentral:misc_RNA from 1 species
AGCAGCCGCGGUAAUUCCAGCUCCAAUAGCGUAUAUUAAAGUUGUUGCAGUUAAAAAGCUCGUAGUUGAAUUUCGGGAUCAAAGAAUCGGUCAUGCCUUGGUAUGUACUGGUUUUAUUGGUUCUCACCUUCUAAAGAACCAUGAUGUCAUUCAUUUGAUGUUAUGGGGAAUUAGGACUGUUACCUUGAAAAAAUUUAGAGUGUUUAAAGCAGGCUCACGCUUGAAUACAUUAGCAUGGAAUAAUGAAAUAGGACGUUUGAUUCUAUUUUGUUGGUUUCUAGGAUCGACGUAAUGAUUAAUAGGGAUAGUUGGGGGCAUUAGUAUUCAAUUGUCAGAGGUGAAAUUCUUGGAUUUAUUGAAGACUAACUACUGCGAAAGCAUUUGCCAAGGAUGUUUUCAUUAAUCAAGAACGAAAGUUAGGGGAUCGAAGACGAUCAGAUACCGUCGUAGUCUUAACCAUAAACUAUGCCGACUAGGGAUCGGAUGAUGUUAAUUUUUUAAUGACUCAUUCGGCGCCUUA